GGAGAAGUGGCCGAGUGGUCGAAGGCGCACGCCUGGAAAGUGUGUAUACGGCAACGUAUCGAGGGUUCGAAUCCCUCCUUCUCCGCCA
rnacentral:tRNA from 7 species